AUUGAACGCUGGCGGCAUGCUUUACACAUGCAAGUCGAACGGCAGCGAGGAGAAGCUUGCUUCUCUGUCGGCGAGUGGCGAACGGGUGAGUAUAGCAUCGGAACGUGCCAAGUAGUGGGGGAUAACCAAACGAAAGUUUGGCUAAUACCGCGUAAGCUCUAAGGAGGAAAGUAGGGGACCUAAAUAAGGCCUUACGCUAUUUGAUCGGCCGAUGUCGGAUUAGCUAGUUGGUGGGGUAAUGGCUCACCAAGGCAAUGAUCCGUAGCGGGUCUGAGAGGACGGUCCGCCACACGGGGACUGAGACACGGCCCAGACUCCUACGGGAGGCAGCAGUGGGGAAUUUUGGACAAUGGGGGAAACCCUGAUCCAGCCAUGCCGCGUGUAUGAAGAAGGCCUUAGGGUUGUAAAGUACUUUUGUUAGGGAAGAAAAGCUAGUUUUUAAUAAAAAUUAGUGAUGACGGUACCUAAAGAAUAAGCACCGGCUAACUACGUG
rnacentral:rRNA from 1 species